GAAGUCUUAUGCUUUCCCUUUUUUGGAGAAAAUUUGGUUUGUUCCUUUUUCUUGACCAGACCAUUGACCACCGCUGGUGACUUGAGGUUUUGUUGAAGCCGCAAUCAAUUUUUCUGAAAUUUCCUCAUCAAGAUGUUUCGCAGGCAGCACUCUUCUCGUACAUCUUCUCGUCUAAGAUUCCUUCUGGGAGCAGGUGGCUACACCUUCCCUUACCCAAAUCGUCACCAUUUGCGUCUGAUUCGAGCUCUGAUGGGCGAGGAUGAUGAUACAGCUGAAGAUCAGUGAUCAGAUUAUAGAUACUUUAACAAUUUACCUGAUAUACUUCUUAUAUUUUCUUAACAAUUUGAUAAAUCUGAUCUUGUUUAUCUGUUUUUCAAAGCAGAAGUCUGGCUUUUUUGCACUUUGUCCCAAUUAAAGCAGAACCGAAAGUUUAUUUUUAUAUUUUGGAUCACUGCCUGCACUUUCUGAAUUUUCCAUUCCAAUAAAGUUGCACAACUUCUUGCA